CUCCGAAUAACUCAGUUGGAAGAGUGGCAGACUGUAAUAGUACGAUUUAGUCAUCUGCAAGUCCCCAGUUCGAACCUGGGUUCGGAGA